GCGGAAGUAGCUCAGCCUGGUAGAGCGUCUGCUUGCCAAGCAGAUGGUCGCGGGUUCGAAUCCCGUCUUCCGCUCCU
rnacentral:tRNA from 1 species